UCUCCGUAGGUUAACCUGCGGAGGGAUCAUUACUGAGUGAGGGCUCGGGCCCGACCUCCAACCCCAUGUGAACCGAAACCUGUUGCUUCGGGGGCGACCCUGCCGUUUGGCGCGGCGCCCCCGGAGGCUCAGCAAACACUGCAUCUUUGCGUCGGAGUUUAAAACAAAUUAAACAAAACUUUCAACAACGGAUCUCUUGGUUCUGGCAUCGAUGAAGAACGCAGC
rnacentral:misc_RNA from 1 species